GACGUAGGGCGCGAGCGUUGUCCGGAAUUAUUGGGCGUAAAGAGCUCGUAGGCGGUCUGUUGCGUCGGCUGUGAAAACCCGGGGCUCAACUCCGGGCCUGCAGCCGAUACGGGCAGACUAGAGUUCGGCAGGGGAGACUGGAAUUCCUGGUGUAGCGGUGAAAUGCGCAGAUAUCAGGAGGAACACCGGUGGCGAAGGCGGGUCUCUGGGCCGAUACUGACGCUGAGGAGCGAAAGCGUGGGGAGCGAACAGG
rnacentral:rRNA from 1 species